GACGAACCGUACGAACGUUAUUCGGAAUUACUGGGCGUAAAGGGCGCGUAGGCGGUCGUGACAAGUCACUUGUGAAAUCUCCGGGCUUAACUCGGAACGGUCAAGUGAUACUGUCGGGCUAGAGUACAGAAGGGGCAACUGGAAUUCUCGGUGUAGCGGUGAAAUGCGUAGAUAUCGAGAGGAACACCUGCGGCGAAGGCGGGUUGCUGGGCUGAUACUGACGCUGAGGCGCGAAAGCCAGGGGAGCGAACGGG
rnacentral:rRNA from 1 species